AGUAAAAGAAGAAAGGGCUGGUUGAAAGACAAAAUAGAGUGACUGGAUUUGGUAUUCACAGUAUUCAGCAUGUUUUGAUCGUUUCCUACCCAGGAAUGAGGGCUCAGGGGUGGAGCGGUAGCCCUGAGUCGGGGACCGGGCAGACAAGCUGUGAGUUGGGGAGCCAGGAAGACUCUCACUGGAGGACAGGGAGCGAUUCAAAGAGGAGAGGCUGCGGCUGGUGUGCAGUAGAUUGGACUGCUUUGUGAUCUUACGGAACAAGGAGUUGCGUUUCUUACUGCAGGAUAGACAGAAUGAGAAAAGACAAGAUAAUCCAUCACAGUGAACUUGUCAAAGUUUUGAGAACUUGUUGUUGCAUUCAAGGAAGCAGAAGCAUCUGACAUUUCGGGCUCAACUACCGAAAAGCAUGAAAAUCAUGAGCUAUGCAAAAUCAAAUCCAGCAGAUAGCAUGGACGUUGUGAAAAGGCUGAUUUGUAAUUAAUGGACUAAAAUGUGCAAAAUCACUGCCCCUUGAUCUGGGAUUCUCACUAGAUAAACACAGAGGUAUUUGACAGAUUUUCAUAUUGCACUGUAUGUAAGAAAAAACUGGCAAACGCCUUUACUAUUGUAUCGUAAACUCCUAC